AUCACAUCCUGGGGCUGAAGUAGGUCCCAAGGGUAUGGCUGUUCGCCAUUUAAAGUGGUACGCGAGCUGGGUUUAGAACGUCGUGAGACAGUUCGGUCCCUAUCUGCCGUGGGCGCUGGAAGAUUGAGGGGGGCUGCUCCUAGUACGAGAGGACCGGAGUGGACGCAUCACUGGUGUUCGGGUUGUCAUGCCAAUGGCACUGCCCGGUAGCUACAUGCGGAAGAGAUAAGUGCUGAAAGCAUCUAAGCACGAAACUUGCCCCGAGAUGAAUCUUCCCUGAGCCUUUAAGGCUCCUGAAGGAACGUUGAAGACGACGACGUUGAUAGGCCGGGUGUGUAAGCGCAGCGAUGCGUUGAGCUAACCGGUACUAAUGAACCGUGAGGCUUAACCUUACAACGCCGAA
rnacentral:rRNA from 1 species